UUGAGUCAAAUCGAACAAUAUACCAAUACAUAUGUGGUAUGAUUGACAAUGAGACAACUUCCCAUUAGAUACCAAAUAGAUAUCAUAUGUGACGUACGAUGUCACCGGACGGCUCUCAGCAAAAACACGGACAACAAAGCAAACUAUAAAAAGACCCCAAAAACGACAAAUCAAACGAGGAAACUGACUGCCUGAUUUGUGUACAAAACAAUACACGAAAAGCAAAUAUGAUAUACAGCAACAAACCACAACCACUGAAUAGCAAACAUCGGUUAAACUUAUAAUAGCCUUGUAAUUAUAUAAUAUAAAAUUUUUUAGAAUGACAUCAAAGGUAAAGUUCCCGGGUGUCAUCCAAGCCAUUUGUAAACAACGCUUUGCAUGAGGUACAUUCCAUUGAUAUAUUUUACUAAUUUCUGGCUAUUUAAAUGAAAAAAAUUACCUCACCAAUCAAAAUCUGAAGGAAAUAAACAGUGUUACUAUGGAAGAUGUAAUAGUGAUACUAGGUACAGACAUCGAGAAGAAUUGAAAGAUGUGUUUUGAUAUGGAUCAAAGCUUGCGGUUGACCCGAUGAUGAUUUCAACGUGGAUAAAACUGAGAGAUCUACAUAUAUAUGCAGCACGCAUUUUGCAGGGAAAAAUGGUAUUACGGCUAAAAAUCCUGAUCCAAUCCCAACACUUUUACACAUAUACACAGAUGAACAGGAAGGACCAUUACCAGCACUUUGUACUGCUACAUAUGCAUCGUCACAAACAGAAAAUAUAAAGACAAAUGACAAAGAAGUGCAAACUAUAUAUAUGAAAAAGAAGUUAUCAAUGCCAAAAUCGAAAAUAUGAUUUAAUAACCCAAAUGAGAAAUUGUGAAAGUAGGCAGAAUGAUCAGCCAAAUGAACAAAAUGACACCACCCUAUAAUUAAAGGCAAUAAAAAAAAUGGUAUUCCUCGAACAAAAACCUUUAAUUUGCAUAGCACCUAACGGGUCAAUUGUUUAUGUCUCAGACUUAUUUGAGGGCUCAAUAAGUGACAGAGCAAUUGUUGAGCAGAGUGGGUUUUUCGACUAUAGCAACCCAGGUGAUUUGGUUCUUGCAGAUAGGGGAUUAACACUUGAAGACCUACUACUCAGACGCCAAGCCUCCUUGAAUAUACCACUAUUUCUAGGAAAAAGAAAUGUUACCUCUCAAGAAGAGUUAAAACCAAGAUGAAUGGCUAAGGCUCGUAUACAUGUUGAACGUGUCAUAGAACGUAUGAAAAAAAAAUUAAGUUAUUGAGUGAAUAAAUACCUUUGUCAUUGUCUCCAAUUGCCAAUCAAUUAGUAUUUGUUGCAAGUUGCCUUGUUAAUUUUCAAGAACCUUUAGUUAAAUGAGAACAAACAUACAACAUUUUUUACAUGUGCAUGUAUCCAUAUAAAAUAUAUAUAACAAUAUAUGAUUUAUUUAUUGACUUGAAGUAUCAUUGGUAUAUUAAUGUCCUUUAAACAAUUGAUUGCCAAAUAAACGGAUCACCAGAUGUAAAAA